UACAGAGGUCCCAAGCGUUGUUCGGAUUCAUUGGGCGUAAAGGGUGCGUAGGUGGCGCUGUAAGUCGGGUGUGAAAUUUCGGAGCUUAACUCCGAAACUGCAUUCGAUACUGCGGUGCUUGAGGACUGGAGAGGAGACUGGAAUUCAUGGUGUAGCAGUGAAAUGCGUAGAGAUCGUGAGGAAGACCAGUGGCGAAGGCGGGUCUCUGGACAGUUCCUGACACUGAGGCACGAAGGCCAGGGGAGCAAACGGG
rnacentral:rRNA from 1 species